rnacentral:lncRNA from 1 species
UGGGGCCCCCCCAGGAUUUUGGGGUCCCCCCCAGGAUUUUGGGGUUCCCCCGGUUUUGGGGUCCCCGCGCUCACACUGGAAGGUCAGGUCCAGCAGGUCCUGGGCGCUGCGCAGCCGCUCGCUCGCCAUCCUGGGGGGUCCCGGUGGGUCCCGUUGGGUACCUGGGCGUUACCGGAGGGGUCUCGGUGGGUUCCUGGUCGGUACCGGAGGGGUCUCGGAGGGAACAGGAGGGGUCCCGGUGGGUCCCGUUGGGUACCUGGGAGUUACCGGAGGGGUCCCGGAGGGUCCCGGUCAGUACCUGGGCGUUACCGGAGAGGUCCCGUUGGGUACCUGGGCGUUACCGGAGGGUCCCGGUCGGUACCUGGGCGUUACCCGAGGGUCCCGGUGGGUACCUGGGAGUUACCGGUGGGUCCCGGUGGGUACCUGGGCGUUACCAGAGGGUCCCGGAGGGUACCUGGGCGUUACCGGAGGGUCCCGGUGGGUACCUGGGCGUUACCGAGGGUCCCGGAGGGUCCCGGUGGGUACCUGGGCGUUACCAGAGGGUCCCGGUGGGUACCUGGGCGUUACCGGAGGGUCCCCGUUGGGUACCUGGGCGUUACCGGAGGGUCCCGGUGGGUCCCGGUCGGUACCUGGGCGUUACCGGAGGGUCCCGGUGGGUACCUGGGCGUUACCGGAGGGUCCCGGUCGGUACCUGGGCGUUACCGGAGGGUCCCCGGUGGGUACCUGGGCGUUACCGGAGGGUCCCGGUGCGCCCGGCGCGUCCCCGCGGCCGCUCCGCCCAAUUCCAGAGCGCUGGGUCACGCGGGGGCCGCGCCCGCGCCCCGGGGCACCGGGGGUGGGGGCGGGACCGGGGAACGGCGGCGGGGGCGGGAACGGAUCCCGAAAACGGGGAGGGGGAACCAAAAACGGGACAGGAGGGGAACCUAAAACCGCGGGGAACGGACCCCAAAAACGGGGAGGGGGGGGAUCCCGAAAACGGAGAGAGGAUCCUAAAAACGGGGAGGGGGAACCAAAACCGGGGGGAAAGGAGUCCCAAAACCGGGGGGACGGGGACCCCAAAACCGGGGGAGAACCACGGGGGUAAGGGAUCCCAAAAACGGGGGGAGUCCCCCAAAACCGGAGGAGGAGAUCCCAAAACCGGGGGGGGAAGGGGGAUCCCAAAACCAGAGCGGUUCCCACGGGGGGCGGGGCGGGAACGGAUCUCAAAAAAGGGGGGGGGGACCACAAAAACGGGGGGAGUCCCCAAAACGGGGAGGGGAUCCCAAAAACGGAGGAGGGGGUCCCAAAACCUUGGGGGGGGAAAUCCCAAAAACGGGAGAACGAAUCCUAAGAACAGAGAGGUUCCCACGGGGGGGGGGGAACCCCCAAAACCGGGAGUUUCCCACGGGGGCGAGGGGGCGGGUCCCGGGGAAACGGAUCCCAAAAACCAGGGGGGGGGGGGUGACCCCAAAACCGGGGGGGGAUCCCAAAAACGGGGGGAUUCCAAAAAGGGGGGAGAUCCUGAAAAAACAGAGAGGUUCCCACGGGGGGGACCCCAAAACCGAGGGAGAGGAUCCCAAAACCGGGAGUUUCCCACGGGGGGGAGCGGGUGCCACGGGAGGGUCCCACGGAACGAUUCGGGUCCUUCGGGGGCGUCUCCGUUCCCACGGGGGGUCCCCGCAGCCCAAUUCCCCCCCAAGCCCCGGUACCUGUAGCGCCGCUCCUCCCCAGCCACGCCCCCGCCCGUCCCGUCCCGGUGCACGCCGGGAGCCCGACCCAGCCCGGAUCUCCCCCCUCCACCUCCGCCCCGCCCCCUCCGGUGCCCCCCGCCCCUCCCCGGGCGGUCCCGGUGCCCCCCCCGCGCCCCCCGGGCCGGGGUCGUUCCGGGGGUCGCUGUACCUUUAAAUGCCGCCGGGGGCUGCCCGGCAGAGGCCACGCCCAUUGCCAUCUACGGCUAAAAGGGGCGUGGUUUGUGCGCAGCCGCGCCUCUUUAGCCCCGC